rfam:Lupinus angustifolius cultivar Tanjil chromosome LG16, whole genome shotgun sequence.
AUAGUGUCGCAAUAGUAAUUCAACCUAGUACGAGAGGAACCGUUGAUUCGCACAAUUGGUCAUCGCGCUUGGUGGAAAAGCCAAUGGCGCGAAGCUACCGUGUGUUGGAUUAUGGCUGAAUGCCUCUAAGUCAGAAUUCGGGCUAUAAGCAAUGCGUGUGUCCGUCGCCCAUUUUCUGACCAGCAGUAGGGUGCCUCGGCACCCUAGAGGCACGUGCCGUUGGGGACCCCCGCGGGGUGGACGAGCCUCGCGGGACGCCUUGAAGAGCUAUUCCCCACUGGGCGGCGGGUAGAAUCCUUUGCAAAUGACUUAAGUACGCGAUCGGGUAUUGUAAGUGCCAGAGUAGCCUUGCUGCCACGAACCACUGAGAUUCAGCCCUUGUCGCGUCGAUUC